rnacentral:tRNA from 1 species
GCGGACGUGAUGGAACGGCAGACAUGCAAGAUUGAGGGUCUUGUGAGCUUUAGCUCAUGCGGGUUCAAGUCCCGCCGUCCGCA